rnacentral:rRNA from 1 species
AAUCAACGCUGGCGGCGUGCCUCAGACAUGCAAGUCGAACGAUUAAGACUUCCUUCGGGAAGUGUAUAAAGUGGCGCACGGGUGAGUAACACGUAAGUAAUCUACCCUCGAGUGGGGAAUAACGUUCGGAAACGAACGCUAAUACCGCAUAAUGCAGCGGCAUCGCAAGAUGACAGUUGUUAAAGGAGUAAUUCGCUUGAGGAGGAGCUUGCGGCAGAUUAGCUAGUUGGUAAGGUAACGGCUUACCAAGGCUACGAUCUGUAUCCGGUCUAAGAGGACGGUCGGACACACUGACACUGAAGAACGGGUCAGACUCCUACGGGAGGCAGCAGUCGGGAAUUUUGGGCAAUGGGCGAAAGCCUGACCCAGCAACGCCGCGUGAAGGAUGAAGUAUUUCGGUAUGUAAACUUCGAAAGAAUGGGAAGAAUAAAUGACGGUACCAUUUAUAAGCUCCGGCUAACUACGUGCCAGCAGCCGCCGUAACAC